rnacentral:rRNA from 1 species
GAUGAACGCUAGCGGCAGGCUUAAUACAUGCAAGUCAAGGGGUAGCAAUACACCGGCGUACGGGUGCGUAACACGUAUGGAACCUACCCGUCAUUGGGGGAUAGCUCGGGGAAACUCGAAUUAAUACCGCAUAAGAUAGUAGAAUGGCAUCAUUCAGCUAUUAAAGAUUUAUUGAUGACGGAUGGGCAUGCGUUAGAUUAGGUAGUUGGUAAGGUAACGGCUUACCAAGCCUACGAUCUAUAGGGGCUCUGAGAGGAGAAUCCCCCACACUGGCACUGAGAUACGGGCCAGACUCCUACGGGAGGCAGCAGUAGGGAAUAUUGGGCAAUGGGCGAAAGCCUGACCCAGCCAUGCCGCGUGCAGGACGAAGGCCCUCUGGGUUGUAAACUGCUUUUUUGAGGGAGGAAAAGACUCGUUGCGACGAGAGUUGACGGUACCUUAAGAAUAAGCCACGGCUAACUACGUGCCAGCCGCCGCAGUAAUAC